rnacentral:lncRNA from 1 species
GUAAACAACCUUUCGAGCGUUUCCCAAACUUCUUUUAGAGAGUUAACAUCACGAACAUGAUCAAUGAACUCUUUGUUAAUAGAAGUCCUCAAAGAAAAGAGAGCUUUACCGCACUUGCCCUUCCACCUUCUUCGUGACUCGGCAUUCUCGGAAAUAUCGGGAGAGAUUGUUGCAUCAGCGUCAACAACCAAUCCCCACAAGUCCUAGCCUUGAAGAAAUGCC